GACGAACGCUGGCGGCGUGCUCAACACAUGCAAGUCGAACGGAAAGGCCCUGCUUUUGUGGGGUGCUCGAGUGGCGAACGGGUGAGUAACACGUGAGUAACCUGCCCUUGACUUUGGGAUAACUUCAGGAAACUGGGGCUAAUACCGGAUAGGAGCUCCUGCUGCAUGGUGGGGGUUGGAAAGUUUCGGCGGUUGGGGAUGGACUCGCGGCUUAUCAGCUUGUUGGUGGGGUAGUGGCUUACCAAGGCUUUGAUGGGUAGCCGGCCUGAGAGGGUGACCGGCCACAUUGGGACUGAGAUACGGCCCAGACUCCUACGGGAGGCAGCAGUGGGGAAUAUUGCACAAUGGGCGGAAGCCUGAUGCAGCAACGCCGCGUGCGGGAUGACGGCCUUCGGGUUGUAAACCGCUUUCGCCUGUGACGAAGCGUGAGUGACGGUAAUGGGUAAAGAAGCACCGGCUAACUACGUG
rnacentral:rRNA from 1 species